rnacentral:rRNA from 1 species
ACUCCUACGGGAGGCAGCAGUGGGGAAUAUUGCACAAUGGGCGCAAGCCUGAUGCAGCCAUGCCGCGUGUGUGAAGAAGGCCUUCGGGUUGUAAAGCACUUUCAGUCGUGAGGAAGGUAGUGUAGUUAAUAGCUGCAUUAUUUGACGUUAGCGACAGAAGAAGCACCGGCUAACUCCGUGCCAGCAGCCGCGGUAAUACGGAGGGUGCGAGCGUUAAUCGGAAUUACUGGGCGUAAAGCGCAUGCAGGUGGUUUGUUAAGUCAGAUGUGAAAGCCCGGGGCUCAACCUCGGAAUUGCAUUUGAAACUGGCAGACUAGAGUACUGUAGAGGGGGUAGAAUUUCAGGUGUAGCGGUGAAAUGCGUAGAGAUCUGAAGGAAUACCGGUGGCGAAGGCGGCCCCUGGACAGAUACUGACACUCAGAUGCGAAAGCGUGGGAGCAAACAGGAUUAGAUACCCCUGGUAGCGACUGA